rnacentral:tmRNA from 1 species
GGGCCGCCCGGUGCAGUGCCGCACGAAGCACCGGGGCCGAGAAGCGAUAGCGCGGCUACACACGUAGAAGAACGGAAGGAUCCUGCACGGACCCGGGUUCGAUUCCCGGCACCUCCACAU